rnacentral:rRNA from 1 species
UACAGAGGGGGCAAGCGUUGUUCGGAAUUACUGGGCGUAAAGGGCGCGUAGGCGGCCUGUUAAGUCGAACGUGAAAUCCCCGGGCUCAACCCGGGAACUGCGUCCGAUACUGGCAGGCUUGAAUUCGGGAGAGGGAUGCGGAAUUCCAGGUGUAGCGGUGAAAUGCGUAGAUAUUGGGAGGAACACCGGUGGCGAAGGCGGCUACCUGGACCGGUUCUGACGCUGAUGCGCGAAAGCGUGGGGAGCAAACAGG